rnacentral:rRNA from 1 species
GACGAACGCUGGCGGCGUGCCUAAUACAUGCAAGUCGAACGAGAGCGACCGGUGCUUGCACUGGUCAAUCUAGUGGCGAACGGGUGAGUAACACGUGGGUAACCUGCCCAUCAGAGGGGGAUAACAUCCGGAAACGGAUGCUAAAACCGCAUAGGUCUUCGAGCCGCAUGGCUUGAAGAGGAAAAGAGGCGCAAGCUUCUGCUGUUGGAUGGACCCGCGGUGCAUUAGCUAGUUGGUGAGGUAACGGCUCACCAAGGCCGUGAUGCAUAGCCGACCUGAGAGGGUGAUCGGCCACAUUGGAACUGAGACACGGCCCAGACUCCUACGGGAGGCAGCAGUAGGGAAUCUUCCGCAAUGGACGCAAGUCUGACGGAGCAACGCCGCGUGAGUGAAGAAGGUUUUCGGAUCGUAAAACUCUGUUGUUAGGGAAGAACAAGUGCUAGAGUAACUGUUAGCGCCUUGACGGUAUCUAACCAGAAAGCCACGGCUAACUACGUG